rnacentral:rRNA from 1 species
CCUACGGGGGGCAGCAGUGAGGAAUAUUGGUCAAUGGACGAGAGUCUGAACCAGCCAAGUAGCGUGAAGGAUGACUGCCCUAUGGGUUGUAAACUUCUUUUAUAUGGGAAUAAAAUGUUCCACGUGUGGGAUUUUGUAUGUACCAUAUGAAUAAGGAUCGGCUAACUCCGUGCCAGCAGCCGCGGUAAUACGGAGGAUCCGAGCGUUAUCCGGAUUUAUUGGGUUUAAAGGGAGCGUAGGUGGAUUGUUAAGUCAGUUGUGAAAGUUUGCGGCUUAACCGUAAAAUUGCAGUUGAAACUGGCAGUCUUGAGUACAGUAGAGGUAGGCGGAAUUCGUGGUGUAGCGGUGAAAUGCUUAGAUAUCACGAAGAACUCCGAUUGCGAAGGCAGUUCACUGGACUGCAACUGACACUGAGGCUCGAAAGUGUGGGUAUCAAACAGGAUUAGAUACCCUAGUAGUC